rnacentral:lncRNA from 1 species
ACGAGCUGCUCACAGCAGCACAUCAAAUUCCGGUCUUUUUUAUCGUCGUCUGCUGAACGGUGCGCACGCACCUGCGGUUUUGCUGCUCGCCGGCCGACGCCAAGUGCCGCACAAAUUAUCAACCUCGGCCAACGACGCCGCCGGUAAAAAAGGCCCCAGAAGGGGCCUUUUAUUUGCAGCGAUCUAAACCCGGGCAAAUGCCACGCCGAACGGAGAACAACAAAAUGGCCGAUUCACGAGGCGUCAUCAGAAAAGGGCAUCCACGCCUGCUGCGAUCGGGGAAGUGCUUCGCCAGCGACCGGGUCGGGCACGCAAGAGUCCGCGCGAGGACGGAGCGGCCUGGACGUUCGUCCAUUCUCACAUCCCGAAGGCGGUCAGCGGUGGCGGAGCGGAUUGGCCCAGAUGCCGCGAGGAAGCGGAAAAGAAGAAAAGCGGUGCUUGUGAGGGAAAGUGUUGGCUGGUCGGGCCGAAGUGAAGAAUUCCGCGCGGGCGCGGGCAAAAGGCGACACACCACGCGGCGUUUGGCGAUCAGAGGGUGAACCAGUGCUAGGUCAUGCGGAGGAGGAGAAGAGAGAAGAGCGGGGGAAGGAAAAAGAAGGAGGAAAGAAGAAGGAAACGUGCAAUAAGCGGGAAAGGCGCGAGAAGCGCGGGAAAAGGAAGAUGAAUGAAGGGAAAGUGACGGGAAGAGGAAGUGGAAGUUUUUGUACGCACACACACACAUACUAACACGAUUUGAACGGUUCAAUACACAUGCUGAAACAUAAA